AUGUCUGCACGGAACCCUCCAGGCACACAGUGCAUCUCUGGCCAAGGGCAGAGCCCACAAGCUGCUCCUCUCCCUGCUGCACCAACUUCCAGUUUCUGUUUACACCAGCCCAAUGUCAAACAUCACAGCAGCAGCUCUGGCGGAAGUUUGGGUGAAGCUGGCAAGGGGGUCCCAAACCUUCCAGAGGGCUGGAAAGAUGGAUGGCAGGGAAGAAGUGGCAAUCAGAUAAAGGCAGUUUCUGAAGAAGAGACACUGAAACAAACCCUGCUAUCGGCUGCUGGAUUGAAUUCUAAAUGCUGACCCACAUGCGAAUUUUGUGAUUGGUUCCAUUUGUUACAACGAGUGGAACUAAUUCUCUGGAUCCAAGUAUAAUUAGAUGAAUCUAGAUCAUAAGUCUGGGAAUUGCACCCAAAAACAUGAAGUUCAUUUCCCUUUGUUCUCUCGUUUCACUGAAUAACAAUAGUAAGUACUAGCCUUUCCUGUUCAGAAUCUAUUAGGGCCAAUGAAGGAAAAAGCACGGCAACCUAUGGGAACAGCACAUCUUUACAAGCUUGCAGAACUGAAGUGGUGGAGGAAGGUAGCUAUACAUGCCUCAGGGAGGUUACAGACAAUUUGCUUUUUAUUUUCUCCUAAUACCGUGACCUUUGUACCUUUACCUGUAUUUGAUAGUUUUUAUUACCUGUUUUGCUUCCUUGUAACGUGUCAGUAGUUUAACUGUUGCUUUGUCAUAUUGAGGUGAUGCAGGUUCUUGUCAGUCUUGGAAUGACUGGGAUCAGCGCUUCUCCUCUUGUGUUUAAAGCCUGAAGACUUCUUCAUGUCUGCAUCGAGUCUGGCUUUUGUUUUUCUUCAUCCUGAGAGAUCUAACCCACUAGCAACCCCAGCGCAAACAAGAGAACAACACCAUCUCUUUAGUAUGGAAGAACGUAUAACUGCUUCAGAAAGCAUUGCUGUUGCAGCAUCAAUCUGAAAGCUUGACUAUCCUGGAGCUUUUAGGUUGGUUACUGUUCUGCUAAAAUAAAAACCUGAGCUCAUGAGUGAUCCUGUGGUGA
rnacentral:lncRNA from 1 species